rnacentral:rRNA from 1 species
GACGAACCGUGCGAACGUUGUUCGGAAUCACUGGGCUUAAAGGGCGCGUAGGCGGACCAUCAAGUCCGGGGUGAAAUCCUCCGGCUUAACCGGAGAAUUGCCUGGGAUACUGGUGGUCUUGAGGGAGGUAGGGGCACGCGGAACUUCCGGUGGAGCGGUGAAAUGCGUUGAUAUCGGAAGGAACGCCGGUGGCGAAAGCGGCGUGCUGGCCCUCUUCUGACGCUGAGGCGCGGAAAGCCAGGGGAGCGAACGGGG